rnacentral:rRNA from 1 species
CGCUGGCGGCGCGCUUACACAUGCAAGUCGAGCGAGAAAGUGGAGCAAUCCAUGAGUAAAGCGGCGUACGGGUGAGUAACACGUGGAUCAUCUACCUUUUAGUGGGGAAUAACCCUGGGAAACCGGGGCUAAUACCGCAUAAUCCUGUGAAGGGAAAGCAGCAAUGCGCUGAAAGAGGAGUCCGCGGCCGAUUAGCUAGUUGGUGAGGUAAUGGCUCACCAAGGCGGUGAUCGGUAGCCGGCCUGAGAGGGCACACGGCCACACUGGCACUGAAACACGGGCCAGACUCCUACGGGAGGCAGCAGUGGGGAAUCUUGCACAAUGGAGGCAACUCUGAUGCAGCGACGCCGCGUGAGCGAUGAAGCCCUUCGGGGUGUAAAGCUCUUUCGGCAGGGACGAUAAUGACGGUACCUGAAGAAGAAGCUGCGGCUAACUACGUGCCAGCAGCCGCGGUAAUACGUAGGCAGCGAGCG